CUGUGCUGUUAUCGUUAUAACUGUGAUGUGGACUCUGCUAUUCUUUAUUAACUAUUUUUAGUAUCGUUAGUAAUCGUCCUUGAAUAACGGCCUUUAGAAAAAAUGUUCAGUGUAUGUCUUUUUUUCUAGUCAUGUUUUAAAAAAAAUUAAUUAAAAUAAUAUGCCUACCUACUAAUUAAUCAAAACUGAAUUCAUAAUUGUAAUAUAGCCUGAUCCCGUGAAGGUUCUAUAAACGCAACGCAUCAGGAAAGGCAAAAACGUGGGACUUACACCUGAAUGCACACAGACUCAUCAUGGGGACUCGUGUCACUGUGGACCUAAACUGAGGGCAGUGAAGAGUGCCUGACCCUGCUCUCUGAAACACUCGGCCGGAUCACUCUCUGUUCAUGAUCCUGGAGGAACGCUUGUUCACGACUGUGCCUGAGCGCUUCCUAUAUCUUCUGGCUUCAAACACCUGGAUAAAAGUGCUAAAUUAAAUUAAAUUGUGAGUUUUGUUAGAUUGUGCAUAUAUAUGUUUCAUCACUGUAUUUUGAGAGCAAUUUCAAAGUGCUGUUAAAAAUUAAAGUUGAACAGAAAUGACAUAAACACACCAUCCGUUCAACUUGUGUUUCUUGAAUCUGUUGAGUUUUUAAGCAGCCUAAAGAAGGCCCGCAUCGUUCACUCAAGUGUGCCGAGAACGCAAACCCUCUCAAGGGAGAAGAGAAACGGCACGGCAGCCUGUGAUUGGCCGAGACACUCGCACGCAUCAUCCACUGAAUAUUAUAAUGAGCUCUUGACUGGAGUGCUGUGAUUAAUCUGAUUAUUACAUAUUACAUGAAAA